GGCCAGAAUUCGAUUGGUCAGUUGCUGCA
rnacentral:piRNA from 1 species